rnacentral:tRNA from 1 species
GAAGGUUGUUAGUUUACCGCUGCUAACGGUAAAGGGGAUUAUAAGUGGUCCGACUUUCU